AAACACACACACACUCACAAACAGUCAGACACAAACACACACAUACACAGUCAGACACACACACACACACAGUCAGAGACACACACUCACAAACACACAGUCAGACACAAACACAGUCAGACACAAACAGUCACAAACACACACAGUCAGACACAUACACAAACACAGUCAGACACAAACACACACACACUCAGACACAUACACAGUCAGACACAAACACACUCAG